rnacentral:lncRNA from 1 species
UACUAUAGAGAUAUGAUAGAAUUCGUAAGUGCAGUAUAUAGGAGUAAGUAGACAAGUGUAAAGUGGGCAAGUGUGGUAGGUAUGCAUUAUUAAAGUAGUAUGGACAAGUGUAAAGUGAGGUAGGUGGUGUGCAUUAUUAAUAGGACAAGUGUAAAAGUAAGUAAGAUAGUACGUGCAUUACUAUAGAGAUAUGAUAGAAUUCGUAAGUGCAGUAGAUAGGAGUAAGUAGACAAGUCUAAAGUGGGUAAGUGUGGUAGGUAUGUAUUAUUAAAGUAGUAUGGACAAGUGUAAAGUGAGGUAGGUGGUGUGCAUUAUUAAUAGGACAAGUGUAAAAGUAAGUAAGAUAGUACGUGCAUUACUAUAGAGAUAUGAUAGAAUUCGUAAGUGCAGUAGAUAGGAGUAAGUAGACAAGUGUAAAGUGGUAAGUGUGGUAGGUAUGCAUUAUUAAAGUAGCAUGGACAAGUGGCAAAAGGUGGAGGAUUUGUGGCUUAGGUCGCAGGUUCAAGCCCCACACCAUGCAAAGCGAAGCCCNNNNN